GACGGAGGGUGCAAGCGUUGUUCGGAUUGACUGGGCGUAAAGGGCGUGUAGGCGGCUGGCCAAGUCUGGUGUGAAAGCCCGGGGCUCAGCUCCGGAAGUGCAUCGGAAACUAGUCAGCUUGAGCGCGAUAGAGGAGGGUGGAAUUCCUGGUGUAGCGGUGAAAUGCGUAGAUAUCAGGAGGAACACCGGCGGCGAAGGCGGCCCUCUGGAUCGUUGCUGACGCUGAGACGCGAAAGCGUGGGGAG
rnacentral:rRNA from 1 species